GUAAUACGAAGGGUCCAAGCGUUGUUCGGAAUCACUGGGCGUAAAGGGCGCGUAGGCGGCCUGAUAAGUCGGGGGUGAAAGCCUGUGGCUCAACCACAGAAUAGCCUUCGAUACUGUCGGGCUUGAGACCGGAAGAGGUAAGUGGAACUGCGAGUGUAGAGGUGAAAUUCGUAGAUAUUCGCAAGAACACCAGUGGCGAAGGCGGCUUACUGGUCCGGUUCUGACGCUGAGGCGCGAAAGCGUGGGGAGCAAACAG
rnacentral:rRNA from 1 species